rnacentral:rRNA from 1 species
AGCAGUCGCCACGGUAAUACGAAGGGUGCAAGCGUUAAUCGGAAUUACUGGGCGUAAAGCGUGCAUAGGCGGUGAGUUAAGUCUGCUGUGAAAUCCCCGGGCUCAACCUGGGAAUGGCAGUGGAUACUGGCUCGCUAGAGUGUGUCAGAGGAUGGUGGAAUUCCCGGUGUAGCGGUGAAAUGCGUAGAGAUCGGGAGGAACAUCAGUGACGAAGGCGGCCAUCUGGGACAACACUGACGCUGAGGCACGAAAGCGUGGGGAGCAAACAGGAUUAGAUACCCCGGUAGUCCCUGUCUCUUAUAC